rnacentral:rRNA from 1 species
UGGUACUGAGACACGGACCAAACUCCUACGGGAGGCAGCAGUGAGGAAUAUUGGUCAAUGGCCGAGAGGCUGAACCAGCCAAGUCGCGUGAAGGAAGAAGGAUCUAUGGUUUGUAAACUUCUUUUAUAGGGGAAUAAAGUGGAGGACGCGUCCUUUUUUGUAUGUACCCUAUGAAUAAGCAUCGGCUAACUCCGUGCCAGCAGCCGCGGUAAUACGGAGGAUGCGAGCGUUAUCCGGAUUUAUUGGGUUUAAAGGGUGCGUAGGUGGUGAUUUAAGUCAGCGGUGAAAGUUUGUGGCUCAACCAUAAAAUUGCCGUUGAAACUGGGUUACUUGAGUGUGUUUGAGGUAGGCGGAAUGCGUGGUGUAGCGGUGAAAUGCAUAGAUAUCACGCAGAACUCCGAUUGCGAAGGCAGCUUACUAAACCAUAACUGACACUGAAGCACGAAAGCGUGGGGAUCAAACAGGAUUAGAUACCCUGGUAGUCCACGCA